rnacentral:ncRNA from 1 species
AAGUUCUAGGUAAUAAGGGCCGGGUAAGACUGGUGCCAGCCGCCGCGGUAACACCAGCGGCUCGAGUGGUAGCCACUUUUAUUGGGCCUAAAGCGUCCGUAGCCGGACUGGCAAGUCCUUUGUGAAAUCGGGCGGCUUAACCGCUCGGCGUGCAAGGGAAACUGCUGGUCUUGGGACCGGUAGGCGAUGAGGGUACUCCGGGGGUAGCGGUGAAAUGCUAUAAUCCUCGGGGGACCGCCAGUGGCGAAAGCGCUCACCGAUUCCGGAUCCGACGGUGAGGGACGAAGGCCAGGGGAGCAAACCGGAUUAGAUACCCGGGUAGUCCUGGCUGUAAAGGAUGUGGGUUAGGUGCUUGGCGUUCCUCGAGAACGUCGAGUGCCGAAGGAAAGCCGUUAAGCCCACCGCCUGGGAAGUACGGCCGCAAGGUUGAAACUUAAAGAAAUUGGCGGGGGAGCACCACAAGGGGUGGAGCCUGCGGUUUAAUUGGAUUCAACGCCGGACAUCUCACCGGGGGCGACGGCAGAGUGAAGGCCAAGCUGACGACUUUGCCGGACUCGCCGAGAGGUGGUGCAUGGCCGCCGUCAGCUCGUGUUGUGAAAUGUCCUGUCAAGUCAGGCAACGAGCGAGACCCUCGCCCUUAGUUGCCAUCGGAUUCCGUUUGGAAUGCCGGGCACUCUAAGGGGACCGCUGUCGAUAAGACAGAGGAGGGAGAGGGCGACGGUAGGUCCGUAUGCCCCGAAUCCCCCGGGCAACACGCGGGCUACAAUGCGUAGGACAGAGGGCUGCGACCCCGAAAGGGGAAGCCGAUCCCUAAACCUACGCAUAGUUCGGAUCGAGGGCUGCAACUCGCCCUCGUGAAGCUGGAAUCCCUAGUAAUCGCGUGUCACUAUCGCGCGGUGAAUACGUCCCUGCUCCUUGCACACACCGCCCGUCAAGCCAUCCGAGUGGGAUCUGGAUGAGGCUUGCUCUUUUGAACAAGUCAAAUCCGGGUUUCGCAAGGAGGGCUAAGUCGUAACAAGGUAGCUGUAGGGGAAUCUGCGGCUCGAUCACCUCCU